AGGCUAACUCCUACGGGAGGCAGCAGUGGGGAAUAUUGCACAAUGGGCGCAAGCCUGAUGCAGCCAUGCCGCGUGUAUGAAGAAGGCCUUCGGGUUGUAAAGUACUUUCAGCGGGGAGGAAGGCGUGAGUCUGAACAGGGCUCACGAUUGACGUUACCCGCAGAAGAAGCACCGGCUAACUCCGUGCCAGCAGCCGCGGUAAUACGGAGGGUGCAAGCGUUAAUCGGAAUUACUGGGCGUAAAGCGCACGCAGGCGGCCAAUUAAGUUAGAUGUGAAAUCCCCCGGGCUUAACCCGGGAACGGCAUCUAAGACUGGUUGGCUGGAGUCUCGUAGAGGGGGGUAGAAUUCCACGUGUAGCGGUGAAAUGCGUAGAGAUGUGGAGGAAUACCGGUGGCGAAGGCGGCCCCCUGGACGAAGACUGACGCUCAGGUGCGAAAGCGUGGGGAGCAAACAGGAUUAGAUACCCUGGUAGUCCACGCCGUAAACGAUGUCGAUUUGGAGGUUGUGCCCCUGAGGUGUGGCUUCCGGAGCUAACGCGUUAAAUCGACCGCCUGGGGAGUACGGUCGCAAGAUUAAAACUCAAAUGAAUUGACGGGGGCCCGCACAAGCGGUGGAGCAUGUGGUUUAAUUCGAUGCAACGCGAAGAACCUUACCUACUCUUGACAUCCACGGAAUUUGGCAGAGAUGCUGAAGUGCCUUCGGGAACCGUGAGACAGGUGCUGCAUGGCUGUCGUCAGCUCGUGUUGUGAAAUGUUGGGUUAAGUCCCGCAACGAGCGCAACCCUUAUCCUUUGUUGCCAGCACGUGAUGGUGGGAACUCAAGGGAGACUGCCGGUGAUAAACCGGAGGAAGGUGGGGAUGACGUCAAGUCAUCAUGGCCCAGACGAGUAGGGCUACACACGUGCUACAAUGGCGGAUACAAAGAGAAGCGACCUCGCGAGAGCAAGCGGAACUCAUAAAGUCUGUCGUAGUCCGGAUUGGAGUCUGCAACUCGACUCCAUGAAGUCGGAAUCGCUAGUAAUCGUAGAUCAGCAUGCUACGGUGAAUACGUUCCCGGGCCUUGUACACACCGCCCGUCACACCAUGGGAGUGGGUGGCAAAAGAAGUCGGUAGCUUAACCUGCGGGAGGGCGCUGACCACUUUGUGACUCAUGACUGGGGUGAAGUCGUAACAAGGUAACCGUAGGGGAACCUGCGGUUGGAUCACCUCCUUA
rnacentral:ncRNA from 1 species